rnacentral:rRNA from 13 species
GGUCCCAAUGUCAUGGUUAAGUGGGAAACGAUGGGGCAAGGCACAGACAGGCAGCAUGUUGGCUAAGAAGCAGCCAUCAUUUAAAGACAGCUUAAUAGCUCACUGGUCGAGUCGGCCUGCGCGGAAGAUGUAACGGGGCUAAACCAUGCACCGAAGCUGCGGCAGCGACACUAUGUGUUGUUGGGUAGGGGAGCGUUCUGUAAGCCUGCGAAGGUGUGCUGUGAGGCAUGCUGGAGGUAUCAGAAGUGCGAAUGCUGACAUAAGUAACGAUAAAGCGGGUGAAAAGCCCGCUCGCCGGAAGACCAAGGGUUCCUGUCCAACGUUAAUCGGGGCAGGGUGAGUCGACCCCUAAGGCGAGGCCGAAAGGCGUAGUAGAUGGGAAACAGGUUAAUAUUCCUGUACUUGGUGUUAG